UAAGGGCGCACGGUGGAUGCCUUGGCACUAGAAGCCGAUGAAGGACGUUACUAACGACGAUAUGCUUUGGGGAGCUGUAAGUAAGCUUUGAUCCAGAGAUUUCCGAAUGGGGAAACCCAGCAUGAGUUAUGUCAUGUUAUCGAUAUGUGAAUACAUAGCAUAUCAGAAGGCACACCCGGAGAACUGAAACAUCUUAGUACCCGGAGGAAGAGAAAGAAAAUUCGAUUCCCUUAGUAGCGGCGAGCGAAACGGGAAGAGCCCAAACCAACAAGCUUGCUUGUUGGGGUUGUAGGACACUCUAUACGGAGUUACAAAGGACGACAUUAGACGAAUCAUCUGGAAAGAUGAAUCAAAGAAGGUAAUAAUCCUGUAGUCGAAAAUGUUGUCUCUCUUGAGU
rnacentral:rRNA from 1 species